UGGGGUAUGGCUUAGUUCGUAGAGUGCUUGCCUCACAUGCACAAGGCCCUGGGAUCAAGUCCCAGCACCCCUG
rfam:Ictidomys tridecemlineatus contig049907, whole genome shotgun sequence.